rnacentral:miRNA from 1 species
AAGAUGAGAGAAGAAGAUGAGAAGGAGGAGUAAUAACAAAAGUGCAAACAAAAACUGAAAUCUAUUUGAAAUUGUUUUCACUUUUAAGUUUUUGUUUUCACUUUUGUUACUCUUCCCUUCCAUCUUCCCCUCUCAUCUCU